CCCUGGUAGGUGAUGUUGGGGAAGAGGAGGAGGAGGCGGAGGAAGGAGAAGAAGAUGAAGAUGAAAACAACGUUGACGUGAAAGCAAAUGCAGAUGGCCCACCUCUAAAACGGACAAAAGUUCAGCAGUCCUGACUAUGGCGUGAAAGACUGUAUUUAGGCCUAAAAAAGAGACUUUACAGCAGUAUUGAAUGUAAGUGUUCUUUUGGAGGGUGGUACCUCGGGGGUGGGCAGACUGUUCUUGCAAGGCGGGUGUCAGCGUUUUUGUUCCUUUUGCUCAUGUUUUAAAAACGAAAUGUAGAUCACUGUCACUAUUUCAAUAUAAGAAGCCUAAUAAAAGGGUGUGUAUUAGCAUUAGCAAUGUGCUUUUUACAGGAAGCGAAUAUUAGGCUGAAAAGAUUGAGAAUUUUCAGUAAACCAGGUGACAGAUAUGAAACACUUUUAAUGGCUUCUCCUGAUCACAGUAUUUCUUCAUAUGACUUAAAACCAAACUAUUUUAAAAUAAAAUAAUAAAAUAUGAAGCCCGUUA